GCUAUAAUGCAGUAGAGGAGAGACGAGGAGUUUGCUCCUCUGACGUUAGAGCGGACGGGUGAGUAACACGUGGAUAACCUACCUAUAAGACUGGGAUAACUUCGGGAAAACGGAGCUAAUACCGGAUAAUAUAUUGAACCGCAUGGUUCAAUAGUGAAAGACGGUUUUGCUGUCACUUAUAGAUGGAUCCGCGCCGCAUUAGCUAGUUGGUAAGGUAACGGCUUACCAAGGCAACGAUGCGUAGCCGACCUGAGAGGGUGAUCGGCCACACUGGAACUGAGACACGGUCCAGACUCCUACGGGAGGCAGCAGUAGGGAAUCUUCCGCAAUGGGCGAAAGCCUGACGGAGCAACGCCGCGUGAAUGAUGAAGGUCUUCGGAUCGUAAAACUCUGUUAUUAGGGAAGAACAAAUGUGUAAGUAACUAUGCACGUCUUGACGGUACCUAAUCAGAAAGCCACGGCUAACUACGUGCC
rnacentral:rRNA from 1 species